GUGGAGGAUUAAGAAAGGAGUACCUUUUGCAGUAAUUUGGUUCUUCUGAUACUGUCCUCCUAGAUUAAACUGUUGAGCAAAGAACAGGUCAGGCUAUCCCAGUGUUUUGUACUGACCUACUUGCUCAACACACAGUU
ensembl:scaRNA